AUGAACGCUAGCUACAGGCUUAACACAUGCAAGUCGAGGGGCAGCAUGGUCUUAGCUUGCUAAGGCCGAUGGCGACCGGCGCACGGGUGAGUAACACGUAUCCAACCUGCCGUCUACUCUUGGACAGCCUUCUGAAAGGAAGAUUAAUACAAGAUGGCAUCAUGAGUCCGCAUGUUCACAUGAUUAAAGGUAUUCCGGUAGACGAUGGGGAUGCGUUCCAUUAGAUAGUAGGCGGGGUAACGGCCCACCUAGUCUUCGAUGGGUAGGGGUUCUGAGAGGAAGGUCCCCCACAUUGGAACUGAGACACGGUCCAAACUCCUACGGGAGGCAGCAGUGAGGAAUAUUGGUCAAUGGGCGAGAGCCUGAACCAGCCAAGUAGCGUGAAGGAUGACUGCCCUAUGGGUUGUAAACUUCUUUUAUAAAGGAAUAAAGUCGGGUAUGGAUACCCGUUUGCAUGUACUUUAUGAAUAAGGAUCGGCUAACUCCGUGCCAGCAGCCGCGGUAAUACGGAGGAUCCGAGCGUUAUCCGGAUUUAUUGGGUUUAAAGGGAGCGUAGAUGGAUGUUUAAGUCAGUUGUGAAAGUUUGCGGCUCAACCGUAAAAUUGCAGUUGAUACUGGAUAUCUUGAGUGCAGUUGAGGCAGGCGGAAUUCGUGGUGUAGCGGUGAAAUGCUUAGAUAUCACGAAGAACUCCGAUUGCGAAGGCAGCCUGCUAAGCUGCAACUGACAUUGAGGCUCGAAAGUGUGGGUAUCAAACAGGAUUAGAUACCCUGGUAGUCCGCACGGUAAACGAUGGAUGCCCGCUGUUGGUCUGAAUAGGUCAGCGGCCAAGCGAAAGCAUUAAGCAUCCCACCUGGGGAGUACGCCGGCAACGGUGAAACUCAAAGGAAUUGACGGGGGCCCGCACAAGCGGAGGAACAUGUGGUUUAAUUCGAUGAUACGCGAGGAACCUUACCCGGGCUUAAAUUGCAGAUGAAUUACGGUGAAAGCCGUAAGCCGCAAGGCAUCUGUGAAGGUGCUGCAUGGUUGUCGUCAGCUCGUGCCGUGAGGUGUCGGCUUAAGUGCCAUAACGAGCGCAACCCUUGUUGUCAGUUACUAACAGGUUCCGCUGAGGACUCUGACAAGACUGCCAUCGUAAGAUGUGAGGAAGGUGGGGAUGACGUCAAAUCAGCACGGCCCUUACGUCCGGGGCUACACACGUGUUACAAUGGGGGGUACAGAGGGCCGCUACCACGCGAGUGGAUGCCAAUCCCCAAAACCUCUCUCAGUUCGGACUGGAGUCUGCAACCCGACUCCACGAAGCUGGAUUCGCUAGUAAUCGCGCAUCAGCCACGGCGCGGUGAAUACGUUCCCGGGCCUUGUACACACCGCCCGUCAAGCCAUGGGAGCCGGGGGUACCUGAAGUGCGUAACCGCGAGGAGCGCCCUAGGGUAAAACUGGUGACUGGGGCU
rnacentral:rRNA from 1 species